rnacentral:rRNA from 1 species
GCCUAUAGCCAACCCACAGUGACCACACCUAAUCCCACCAAAUCUCUGCAGCAAGUUAAGCAGGGCUGGGCCUGGUUAGUACUUGGAGGGGUUCCCUCCUGGGAAUACUGGGUGCUGUAGGGC